AUACGGAGGAUCCGAGCGUUAUCCGGAUUUAUUGGGUUUAAAGGGAGCGUAGGUGGAUUGUUAAGUCAGUUGUGAAAGUUUGCGGCUCGACCGUAAAAUUGCAGUUGAAACUGGCAGUCUUGAGUACAGUAGAGGUGGGCGGAAUUCGUGGUGUAGCGGUGAAAUGCUUAGAUAUCACGAAGAACUCCGAUUGCGAAGGCAGCUCACUGGACUGCAACUGACACUGAGGCUCGAAAGUGUGGGUAUCAAACAGGAUUAGAUACCCUGGUAGUCCACACAGUAAACGAUGAAUACUCGCUGUUUGCGAUAUACAGCAAGCGGCCAAGCGAAAGCAUUAAGUAUUCCACCUGGGGAGUACGCCGGCAACGGUGAAACUCAAAGGAAUUGACGGGG
rnacentral:rRNA from 1 species